rnacentral:misc_RNA from 1 species
GAUGAAGAACGUAGUGAAAUGCGAUAAGUAAUGCGAAUUGCAGAUCUCCGUGAGUCAUUGAAUCUUUGAACGCACAUUGCGCCCUCGGGUAUUCCCGAGGGCAUGCCUGUCCGAGCGUCAUUAUCCAACCAUCAAGCUCGGCUUGCGGUUGAGCCCCGCACCGUCCCCGGGACGGUGGGCUCGAAACAUGUUGGGCGCCCGUGAGGUUCUCGGUGCAGCGAGCUCUCGAGCACGUGCCGGGCAACCUCUCUGGGCGUCGGCCAACCCCCAAUUUCUCAGGUUGACCUCGGAUCAGGUAGGAAUACCCGCUGAACUUAAGCAUAUCAAUAAGCGGAGGA